UACGGGGGGGGCAAGCGUUGUUCGGAAUUACUGGGCGUAAAGGGCUCGUAGGCGGCCAACUAAGUCAUACGUGAAAUCCCUCGGCUCAACUGAGGAACUGCCUUUGAAACUGUUCGGCUUGAGGCCGGGAGGGGGUAGCGGAAUUCCCAGUGUAGCGGUGAAAUGCGUAGAUAUUGGGAGGAACACCAGUGGCGAAGGGCGGCUACCUGGACCGGUUCUGACGCUGAGGCGCG
rnacentral:rRNA from 1 species